CAUAGCGACUAUCGUGGCAUAUCAAUAAGCGGAGGAAAAGAAACUAACUAGGAUUCCCUCAGUAACGGCGAGUGAAGCGGGAAGAGCUCAAAUUUGAAAUCUUAAAGGGUUUCCCUUGACGAAUUGUAGUUUAAAGAAGUGUUUUCUGUUGGAGUUUCGGUAAAAGUUCUUUGGAAUAGGACAUCAUAGAGGGUGAGAAUCCCGUAUUUGACCAUUACUUUCCAACUGUGUGAUACACUUUCAAAGAGUCGGAUUGUUUGGGAAUGCAGUCCAAAAUGGGUGGUAAAUUUCAUCUAAAGCUAAAUACUUGGCGAGAGACCGAUAGCGAACAAGUACCGUGAGGGAAAGAUGAAAAGAACUUUGAAAAGAGAGUUAAACAGUACGUGAAAUUGUCAAAAGGGAAGCGUUUGACACCAGUGUUGUUUUUCUCGAAAAUCAAUUAAUGAAUGGCUUGGAUGUUGUAGUUGUCAUGACCUUAUAAGCUUUUCUGCACUUUUUUCAUGUCUUUCGUAAUGCACUUUUCGUUUAACAAGUCAACAUCAAUUUCUUUUGUUGUAAAAGAGUUAAUAGGAAGGUGGCUUUCUUUUCGGAGAAAGUGUUUAUAGCCUUUGGCUUCUGCAAUCGGAGAGAUUGAGGUCUGCAGCGUAGAUCCUUCGGGGUUAGAUAGCACUUGUGCUAAGCUAUAGCCUUGUAUAGACAACUUGUUGACUAUGCUCAGUCAUGUAGCUUACUCGCUUAUGUCUAUUUUACCUACGCUUAGGAUGUUGACGCGCGUGUGUGCGUG
rnacentral:rRNA from 1 species